rnacentral:rRNA from 1 species
GAUGAACGCUGGCGGCGUGCUUAACACAUGCAAGUCGAACGGAAAGGCUCCUGCUUGCAGGGGUACUCGAGUGGCGAACGGGUGAGUAACACGUGGGUGAUCUGCCCUGCACUUCGGGAUAAGCCUGGGAAACUGGGUCUAAUACCGGAUAGGACCACAUUUUGGAUGGUGUGGUGGAAAGUUUUUCGGUGUGGGAUGAGCUCGCGGCCUAUCAGCUUGUUGGUGGGGUAAUGGCCUACCAAGGCGUCGACGGGUAGCCGGCCUGAGAGGGUGUACGGCCACAUUGGGACUGAGAUGCGGCCCAGACUCCUACGGGAGGCAGCAGUGGGGAAUAUUGCACAAUGGGCGCAAGCCUGAUGCAGCGACGCCGCGUGGGGGAUGACGGCCUUCGGGUUGUAAACUCCUUUCGCUAGGGACGAAGCGCAAGUGACGGUACCUGGAGAAGAAGCACUGGCUAACUACGUG